AUUGAACGCUGGCGGCAGGCCUAACACGUGCAAGUCGAGCGGAUGAAGGGAGCUUGCUCCUGGAUUCAGCGGCGGACGGGUGAGUAAUGCCUAGGAAUCUGCCUGGUAGUGGGGGAUAACGUCCGGAAACGGGCGCUAAUACCGCAUACGUCCUGAGGGAGAAAGUGGGGGAUCUUCGGACCUCACGCUAUCAGAUGAGCCUAGGUCGGAUUAGCUAGUUGGUGGGGUAAAGGCCUACCAAGGCGACGAUCCGUAACUGGUCUGAGAGGAUGAUCAGUCACACUGGAACUGAGACACGGUCCAGACUCCUACGGGAGGCAGCAGUGGGGAAUAUUGGACAAUGGGCGAAAGCCUGAUCCAGCCAUGCCGCGUGUGUGAAGAAGGUCUUCGGAUUGUAAAGCACUUUAAGUUGGGAGGAAGGGCAGUAAGUUAAUACCUUGCUGUUUUGACGGUACCAACAGAAUAAGCACCGGCUAACUUCGUG
rnacentral:rRNA from 1 species